UCUUUGGAACACAGCUGGAGAAAUGGCGUGGCGUGUUACAGAGCCGGUGGUGUUCUUGGUGUUGACCAGUGAUUUUAUUUACGGAAUGUACCUGAACGUUCUUGAGGGAAGUUAAUUUGCCGAUGGGUUUUCCGUUUAGUUAUUUUUUCAUAGUUGCGUGUUUUGGUUAUUGUAUCGCUCUCUGAAGAUUUGUUUUUUAAACAUGUCAUUUGUGAGUUACAGUAACUUUGGUCGUCUGUCUUCGCGUUAAUUCUAUUUGGAUUUUGUUAAACCUUCCUCGGGUUACAGGUUAUUUUUUGAAACGAGGUGCCUUUGUUAGAAAUUAAACUUUCUGAAUCGGGCAGCGUUUGUAAUUAGGUGUGCACUGGUCAUGUGACCUGAUUUACCAUAGAGUGUGGAAGGCGGGCGAUUUGUUACCGUAGUAACUGUACAAAAUGGGAAGUUGGCAACUUGAACCAAAGUAUUCUAAUACUGUUUGUAAACGUUAUGUUCUAUAAAGGUCCAUCAAGUAAUCAGUAUGUCAAAUGUUAUACAAUAGUCCAUUCGUAUCCCUGAGCUUCUGAAUUUAAAUUUCACUCUUGGGGACAAACCUCAGGCCCAUCUGUUCGUCUUUGCGGGUAUUCUGGUCAUACGCACUUUUGCUUUAGGAUUGACUCUUCACCUCGUUUGCGAGUUAAACUUGUCCCGAAGUCUGCUGGUGACCGACCCAUGCAGUAGAAGGGAGGAGUGAGAAACCGAGCUGGCCAGGAUGGCGGAGCUCCUCGGUACUCCCGCUCGUCUUUCUGUGGCAGCACAUGCGUUGUACGCGCUGAGCAGAAGGCAGUUGAGUGCCGGUCCUGUUCUGUGGUGCCCUCAGCUGGGCAGUGCUACACUCAUGGUGGAUGGAUUCCUGUUUGCACCCGUUGAAGUGUGUGUGUGUGAGCAAAGAGUGAGAAGUGUGCUCUGCACUCCGUCACCUAAGAGCAGUUCUUGAGUCCUCUCCACAUGAUGCCUGUUGUGCCCAGUUUAUUCAUUCCCUCUCUUCUGGCCCUUCCAAGAAAUCUCAAGUUGUGUACUCAAUUUCCCAGAAUCCCCUCCGUUUGGUAGAUUGUGUGAUGAGCACUUUAGUUUUGGUGGUUGUCCAGCAGGUACAUCUCAUUAUCUUUUGGAAUCUUGUGGUGUUGGCAACAGAUUUUAUGAUGACGUGAAAGAGUACAGAAGGGGGCUCAGCACCCUACCCUUGCCGGUUCACCCGUCUGCACAUGCUGAGAUUAACUUUGUGGCAUAGAAGAUGGGAGGUUUUUUUCUCCAGACCUCUUCAUAGUUGCAUCCUUUUGAGUUUUUGUUCUGAAACAGUACGUUUUUGGGGGUCUGUUUAGUUUGCAAGUCAAUCCUUUCACUUCUCGUCCUGUUUUUCUAUUGUAUCCUAGUGCAUUGUGCAAUUCCAGUCUUACCUGUUCUUUCCUAACAUCAGCGUGGCUCCUAUUACAGCAGUUGCUUGAAGUCCUGGCAUGCGUUGACUUGAUGGCCGUCUCACUUUACUUUGAUUACUUAGUGCAUCUCAAUGCAAGUGUGUAGGGCUGCUGUUUCACAGUAUGAUUGACGGUUCUGCAAAUCCCCUGGCAUUAUGAAUGUAUUAACAGUCCAUAACCUUAAUGCCCGAGAUUGAAUCUUUGACUUCAUUUCAUGUCGAGUGCAUAUUGGGAUUUGGAAAGGACUUCCCGGCCAGUCUAGUCCCAGGGACAUCUUAUUGAUCUCCUUAUUUAAUCGCUUGAUCUUUUAUUAUUCUGUCAUGUGAACAUUCCUGAACGAUUCCAAACUACUCCUGUCAUUCUCCGAUCAUUCACCCUGCUCUGUGAGGUUUGCCCUUUUUAUUUUAUCCCACUAUGACAGUGAAUGAAGUAGAUGGGAGCAAAUGACACUGCAUGCUGAAAGAUGGUGUUAAGUUUCUAGUGUCCUUUUAUUGGAUUGUCUAUGCUAUGUGGGGGUUACUGUGGGGCUUCUAGCCUUGCUAUGAUUUUUUUUUUCACUCUUUUUCUAGGUGUGGUGGUUCUUUACCUUCUGAUAGUGCAAGUCUUUCAUUGUGUCAUUUGUUUCAGUCUACUCCAUUUUUUGUUUGAUUUUAAAAUACUUCAUUUCUCUUUGGGGAUUAAUCUUUUUAUGACCGAGGGGGGGUGGUCAGCCAUAUUACAGCGACCCUGGAACAAUUUUCAGGUUAAGGGCCCAGUGGAGUAGAAGCCUUACUGGCAGGAACGGCACUUGAACCUGCAACCUUCCAGAUGGCCUACGUCUCCGAGACGCCAUUGUGGAUUGUCCUUGUAAGGAAACAAUUGGGGGAGCAAACGCAGGGAGAGGUGAAUUGGUAAGAAAAUGACAAUACAGACGAGGCUGUCCUCCUAAAUGUCCAGCGAUGGCCUUUUAAUUAUUAAAGACGCCCAGUCCUUACAAGUCAAAGGGAUACGUAGAGCUGUGAACAGCAAAAGUGAAGUGAGAUUCACAAAGUAAUCGCGGCUUUUAAGUUCAAUAUCCGGCAAAAGAGCUGCUGCUGUAAACAUUUUGACUUGUCUCAUCUAAUUGUAUACAUUUUGAAAAGUUUAUUUAAUAGGGACGCAUGCAAGCACAAUGUUGGAAGUCAGGAACUGGAAAGGAAAGAUUUGGAAGUCAAACUCGGGUUGUUUAAUCUGGAGGUGGCCCCCCAGUUACUGUUAAGACUCAUCCAUAGUGUGUGUAGAAGUGGGGAGCCAAAAAAAUGAGACACGUCUUAAGACUUAAACUAUAAGAUCUGCAGAUGUCAAGUGACCUUUACACCACAUUAGGGGUCUUAAGAUGAGUUUAACGCAAAAUCCAUUUUGUUUAUAAUGGUGGAGUUUAAGUAGAGCUAGUAAUGUGGGAGUUUUAAUGUUGCUGCUCCUUUUCCUUUGGUAGUAAAAGUUCUCUGAGCAUAACUCUAAAGUGUUAGCCAGUUAAAAACCAAUUUGUUUUUGUAAAAUUUAAAACCAUUUCAUUUAAUUGAUUUACUAUUCUGCCAACCAAUGGGCAGCCUAGAACUUCAAUGCUAAACUCGUUUCCUCUGUAGGUGGGUGAUACUUUUUGUCCCUGAGGUGAGGUUUAAUUUUACAGAAGCUGUGCGUGUGUGUGUGAGAUCCAACAGCCGCCACCUGAAGCCCAUGUGAGCACUUGUGGCCGCCGCUGCUGUCAGUGACAGGCUUGUAAGAGGAGGUCCAGCACCUCACGUGCCAGUGGUCCCAGUGCUCGGUGGAUUUCUCUGUAUGUUCCGCCAUUGUAGUCCUCUAUCGGUGAGCUUGUAUCUGCAGUCAUGAUGGUGGAGUAACAUUCUUCUCCCGUUGCGUUUGUCUCCUGACCUUAAGGCCUUUCAUAAAUGUUUUCACAAGCGCUUUUCAGCUUGAUAAUUGGUUAUGAAUAUUGCCAGCCCUGCAUUGACCCUGCAGGGUCCCCUCAUGUGCCACCUGAAUACCUUGGCCAGGAAUUGCUGUUUAUAAUUGACUGGCAGAUAUUUACAGAAAUAAGAUUGGAUCGUCUGCGACUGCAGGAGGCCUCCCUGCAUGUGUAAGUUUGUGCCUGGCAGAUUGAAACGGAUUUCUAAACCCAUCAGCCCUUUUUGGAAUCGUGGAAGAUGAGUGCAAUUUGAGGUGUAUGAAUCUAGAUGACCGAAGUGGACUCUUGAACAUGGCACCUCUAGUCCCACAGAUGGCAAGGGUGGAAGAUCAUGUGUGCAUUAUGGAAGGAUUUGUCAUACAGCAGUUUGCAGAAGGCAGUAAUGUGAAAGGCAGUGAUCCUGCAGUUAAACCAGUCUGACUCGGACUCUGUGGCCGACUUCAUCAUUUGCAGUCAUUCCUCAUGAAGUUCUCGUCACCCUCGGAAAAGCCUUCAGCAGACGUCCAGGAUCCUCCCAUGAUCACCUUUUAACAGGCUGGCAGAGCUACUUCUAUCAAUGAGUUUCCAAGUAAUGAGGUUGACUUUUGCAAGCAAGCAUUGUGGAUGAGGAGUUUCUUCAUACUCGUCUCCUGUUCACUGGGCUAAUCAAUCUACUUGAAGAGGAACCCCAGAAAUGGAACCCAUGUCCUGCUGCUCAUCUCACUCCACCUGGAUUCUCUCGUACAGGUCAUUCAUUUCCCAAUUUGACAAACUGGUCCUUCUACAGGAGCCUCUCUUCCUAGCCCUACCUUGAUCUCCUUCUGUUGAACACAUAACUACAAGUUCUUGGCCUGUAGCAAACUUCAGAGGAGAGCCAAAGUCCACAGCAAGCUGUUUGUAAUGUGACUGGAGUGGCUGUGUCCCUUGUAAAUACAAGGGUAUUGGUGGUGGUGGUGGUGUAUGUAGUCUUUGUGGCAAAUUCAGCACUAAAAGGGCCUCUUGCCAGGCUAAAGUCUCAUUCACUGUAUUUAUGUAGGAAGCACCCACUGAGGGGAAGUGGGGUGUCGGUGGCAGCUAAUGGAUCAGACCUCGCAGAGGAGGAGUUAUUGUAGAACUCCUCCGCAUAGCCACACUGGUCUGUUUGUGUUCUUUCACAGCCCCUUUUCAAAGACCAGGAGAAGAUUCGCUCCUUCUCACCUCGGGGACUCCUAUUUCUCCAGGUCUCUUAAUCUCGUCCUUUAUCACCGCAGGUUCUUCAUGGCUGCUGUCACUCCUUUCAUCUGCCCUGGCUUUGUUCCUUCCUUCCUCCUAGAUUUGUUACCUGUUUGACGCUUUAACUCCAUGGCCUUGAAAUGUUGUCAAUCCUGGGGCUGUGGAGGCCGCUUUCCUUCUGCUGGUCCAGACUCAGCCUGUCUGAUGGAAUUCUUGGGGAUUUUCGCUCACUUAUUUGUUUUCCAUCUCCAGCAUCGUGCAGUGCUGAUUUUAUUUCGUAAUCCUUCUGCUUUUCACCUUUUGAAAGUCCAGUGUCGGCUUUUCAGGGAGUUGUCACCUAAAUAAAUGCAGUGGUUGAGUAACGAGUUUGUAAGUCAAGGUUAUGAUGCACAUUCAUUUUGUUUUAUUAGGUUUAGGUUGUUGGGUCAUGUGACAGUGGUUUGUCACCAGACUAAUUCUAGUAUAAAUGUUGCCCACCACAAAAGUAGUCCACAUCCACCAGUAUGAACUGGUUCUCACAGAACUUUUGUCUCUCGCUAGCACUGCCUGCGAUUUCUGCCUUGUGUUGGUAUCUCCUGGCCUUUCCUGUCGCUUGAACUCUUGUCUCAUAGCCGCUGUUUGGAGCACUGGCUGUGGCCGUGGACCCUCGGCAAAAUAAACGUUUGUAGUUGGUCUGUUAGUAAUACGGGUAGAGUGGAGUUUGAAUUGUGUGGCUAUGAUGUAGACUUAGUUGGAUGGAGUGCCAUUCAGUCGUGAUUUGUUCCAGGGUGUGUGGUUUUUUAUUUUUCAAAAGUCGUCUUUAGUGAGGUUGAAGUCUGUAUUCUACUAUCCAUUGUCUAGGUGACUUUUUUUUUUUUAGUGCUUUUGUCAUAUCCAACUUUAAUUUGGAACGAGUAAGAUAUAACUUCUAGUUGGUCAUUUUUGAUUUCUGUGGCCUGUUGUAUCUAUUAAUGUCCACUAGGUGGGGCUGACGUCCCAUUUCUUAAAGCACAAAAGGGCCAUUGGGAAGAGUUAAAGCCAAAUUAAUGCUAAAGAUUUAAAUAAAUUUAUUCUGGUCUUGGGUUAUUGAGCCAGUUAAAGCCCACCAACCAGUGCACGGCUCAGAGAUCUGAAUCUUAAUGGCGACCCUUCAGGGCCCUAGGGUCACCAUUUCCUUUAGAUCUCUCGCCCCAUGCCUGGUGAGGGAGAAUGUGGCUGCCCAGACCUGGCACUAGUGCCAGGAUGUCGAUGUCCAGGUAAAGUGAAGGAUAGAUUGCCACACUUGUAUUCAAGGGUUGGUUGAAUUUCUUGGAAGACAGUGCAGUAGAAAAGGACCCCCUGCUAGUGAAGACUGGAAAUGGAGGAAUCUCCUGACUUGGAUUGAGCUGUGUGAAGGAUGAAGAGUAAAGGGCAAAGAAAAUGGUGUAGCGGAGACGCAGACAGAUGAGGUUUAAAUGACAGAACCAGAGGAAAAGAGGCAGUUUGGAGUCCACCUAUAUAAACCGGGCAGUGUCGUCACAAGAACAGGUCUUUAAUAAAGUAGUAGUGGCUUUCAUAAAUAUGCCAUAACAUAUCCGUGAUGGUCCUGGGGGCUCGUCACUCCUGAAGGAUUUCAGCAUUGGGAUUCUAAAGCGUCGGAUCCCCUGGACUAGCUGAUGGCUUUCGGCAGGCGCUUUUCUCCAAAGCAAGUUAACGCUAUCCUGUUAAUUCUGCAAGAGUAACCGGACAGGUGGAGUUCUCUCCUGUAACUAAAAAAUACAAGUUUAACAGUACAAAUAUUUCAAUUUGUGGUUUUGAACUUAUUUUGAGUGAAUUCCAAAAUGAGCUGGCUUUGUAAGAACACUUAAACUGUUGUCAGAGCGAGCGUCUGGCUUACGUAGGCUUGUAAGAGUUGGAUUUGCAUCGCUGGAGGAGUCCAGUAGAUUCCGAUUUGAAACAUUGUGUACUCCUGGGGUGUUCUAAUUGGCCAAAUGUGUCCCUUUUUUAUGGUGUGCCCCAUCUUUAAGGCUUUCAGUGUGAAGUCCGACUUGCCAGUCUGUAAAAACCACCUUUUGUGCCGAGUGCUCCGACUUGUCUGGCGUGUGCAUUUGAGAGGUCGUGGACUGCUUUUUGAAAUGCUAAGCUUGACUCCGCAGUUUCGAGCAAAAGCUUUUCCAGACAGGAGUUUGCUGUUCUCUUUCUGUCUUCACUUUUAUCACGUGUCACUGUGCUGAGCGAUGGCAUUACUGAAACUUGAAAAGAGAACUGGCAAUAUCUGCAAUUUAUUAAAAUAUUGAUUUACGUUUUAGAUUUUUUUUGUUCUUUCCAGGAUGGAGACAAGGGGCCUGCCGUCCUACUUAAUCUUGUGUAGUUACCUAAAUCCUGGUGGCCAGUGAGGUGGAUGAAAGGCCAUUAUUGCAACUUUUAUCCUGUUAUGGAAUUAAACAAGUGUGUCUGUCUCCUUGGAGGAGGAGAUGCACCCAAUGAGCUGUGAGCAGCUGUCCCAUUCCAGUGAGGCAGUUGACGUUACUCAAAUUGUUGUUCCCACUAUUGUGACAUUUGGCCAUACUAACUGAACAAAGGCCACUGGAAAGCCUAAACGUGUGGCUGGCAUUGUCUGUCAUUGUGCCUGUGGCUGCUCUAAGUGAAGGCCGUGCUCGAGCGUCCACUUUGUCCUGUUGUGUCACUUGACUCCUCUAAUGCUGUGACUUGUAAUGGUGCUGCUAGAACAGACAUUAUGAAAACCCAACUGGACAGUCCACACUAAAUUGGUGUGGUUUAGGAAGCCAUGGCAGUGCCCUUUAGUAGGGCAACUGAGAUACGAUGAACACCCUGCCAGUAUGAGAUGCACAACACGUAUUUAGAUGGGACGCACUUGAUGUCCAUUCUAGUUUGGUGGAUUCGGACAUCGGUGGAUGUCAGAUCUUGAGAGUAACUCGACAGCAGUUGGGCCUUCAUCUGAUUUACACAUACGGUGGGUUGAAGACUUCAGUCGCCAUCUGCCUUUUCAGUUUGGUUGUACGGCACACGAUCUCGGAGAACGUAAAAGGCCUCUUCUCUAGGUUGUCUACACAAUGGCUGAAGCUUCACUACAGCAUUUUUCAUUUGACUGCAGCUCUAAUCGAGUGUCUUGUAUUUUCUGUCGUUUCUCGGUGUUCUUCCUGCUGCCCGGUGUGUGGUGUUUGUUGUUGGCUGCUGUGAAUUUCAUUGAGCUCUGUGGUCAGGAUGUUGUUGCCCUCCUCGGUUGACGUGUACCCUUUAAUUUGAUUGUCCUGUUUGUUGGACUCGUUAGCACAAAGGCAGACUCCACUAUCUCCUCUCACCUGAUUAUGGUAUGUCUUGACGUAUAGGGUGAUGUCUCUUGUGUGGCCAGAAGUGCUCAACUCCCAUGAGCCAGGAAGGCACCACUAAUUCUUUGUUUACUGUAUAUAGCGCUCUUCUCGUGGUGCUGAGUGCUUCAGCCGCCAGUAAUGCGUACCACCCAGUUGGAUGAUGUGAUGGCAGCCAUUUUUGCACCAGUACUCUCCUCACAUUAGCUGUUAGGUGGCCAAGUAUGAGAUAAAGCCUCAGUAAAUCUUGUUUUCUAACACAUGGAGUCCUAGGCUUGGCAUGACCAGGGCAGGGCUGGGCACAGCCACUCCAGAUGAAGUCCUCUUCGAGACGUGAGCACAGCAGGUAUUGCUUGUGUGUGUUUUUAGUUUGUUUGGACUCUUGGACCCUUCCAUCUCUUGCCUUUCUUAGAAUGUGCAGCCUGAACUUUGAAUUUCUACCUGGAAGCUCCUUAAAGCAGCCUGUCAGUGGGUUUGGUUUUGGAGUUCACUGGGGUCCUGCUUUCUCAGCUGCUGUCCAGUCUUCCAUGGCUCCUUCUAGUUACCAAUCCACCCCCCUUACACAGCUCACUUAAGUUCAGAGGUAACCCCAGCAGAAUUCUGUCCAGAGCCCCAUGGGUCAGUCCCAGGUGAGAUCCCACCAGAUGUGACGGGCAGCCAUGUACUCCAGUGGGUGGGUUCAAGCUGGAGAGCUGCUUUUGUAUGUGCGGCCCCCCCAGGUGGUUCAGUUCAACACACACACACACACACACACACCAUGCAUGGCUUCUAAAGCUGGCUCUGACCCUUUUGAGAUUUCUCUUCCAGGUUCACGUGACCCUACCAGGAUUUUCACACCACACUUCACUGCAGUACAAAGGUUUCUGGUGGUGAAUUGAAAAGGAGACACCCCCCCCCCCCCCCCCCUUUUAAAUUCUCAAAGGGUGACAUUUGUAAGGUGAUAAACUGGCCUGCAAGUGUGUGUGUAAAAGGAGCCGCAGGUCUUUAGUGUCUACACCUCCGUUUUAACUGUCGAGGGUCUGCACUCCCCGCCUGUGAAAGCGAAGGCUUGACCUUCCUUUUUGACGUCUUGUCAGAUGUUCUGAGUGUGGCCCCUGAAACUUUCCUCUUAGGGGGUGUCACACUGUGCUCGGCUGCUUGAGCAUAAAGGGCACCUGGAUGUGACCUGCCUGCUGUCCUGCAGUCUUAGUGAAAACUCUACGGUAAGAGCUGGCAGUCGGACAUUUAGCAACACACACUCUCUUCCCCUUUGUCUUUUUUUGUAGAGGUGCUCCACGUUUUAUUUCCCAUUGCAGUGAUUGACUGUUUCUCCAUUUUGUCAGUGAAUAACUUGAAGAGUGAAGCAGACUGUGAGCCCCCCAAGAAAAGGAAGAUCUGGUGAAUGCCAGGCCUGGCUGCAGAGACCCCGAAGGCAGUUCUGGGGUCCCAACAAAGGUGUGCCACACUUGGAGCAACAGUCUGAGUAACUGGGACCACUGAAUAAGGAGCUGUGAAGACUUGAAGCAGAUAGCCAAAAUAAAGCGAGUCCCGUCCUCCAUGACGUGGCCACCAAUGAAUGAGGACUACAAGACUGGAAAUGAAGAAAAGCAGCCGCAUAGCUGAAGGACCCUCUGAGCCUGCACCGUCUCUCCUGUGCUGAUACUUUUUUCUGAUUCAUGAAGGGUGCUGUUGUGGUCUUUUAUUCCACACUUGGCAAGACUGUGACCUGGUGACUAGUGAAAUGGCUUGAGUUUUACAAAAAGCCCUCAAGUUUGAUUGGAAGAGCACUGUGUACACUUGAGACCCCAAACUCAGUUUGAUUUAUUCCUUAUCUGUUUGUCCCCAUAUUAUGUAAUCCGACUUCUGCUUUGUUAACCAAGUCAUGAGAGAGGAUUCUGUUAUCUGGGCCUGUAAAUGCAGCAAAUUCUUGUUGUUGUUGGGUUUUUGUUUUUUAUUAAAUGUAACCUCCCCUUUUGCUGUAAUUUUGAAAUGAGAACCAAAAUAUUAAACCUCUGAAGUAUC